GGCGGCGUGCUUAACACAUGCAAGUCGAACGGGGCGCUUCGGCGCUUAGUGGCGAACGGGUGAGUAACACGUGAGCAACCUGCCCUUGGCUCUGGGAUAGCCUCCGGAAACGGGGAUUAAUACCGGACAUGACCUGCUUCUGCAUGGAGGCGGGUGGAAAGUUUUUCGGCCAGGGAGGGGCUCGCGGCCUAUCAGCUUGUUGGGGGGGUAACGGCCCACCAAGGCGACGACGGGUAGCCGGCCUGAGAGGGCGACCGGCCACACUGGGACUGAGACACGGCCCAGACUCCUACGGGAGGCAGCAGUGGGGAAUAUUGCGCAAUGGGGGAAACCCUGACGCAGCGACGCCGCGUGCGGGAUGAAGGCCUUCGGGUUGUAAACCGCUUUCACCAGCGACGAAGCGAGAGUGACGGUACCUGCGGAAGAAGCGCCGGCUAACUACGUGCCAGCA
rnacentral:rRNA from 1 species